CUCUUUUCUACUGAAGUAAAGCGUGCAACACACUCCGGACAAAAUCUGCACGGUAGCUUUGCGGUAUAAAAUGAGCUACGGAACUGUCCGAGGUUCAAUGGGGUCUCUUCAGAUUUUAACCAGAGCCCGUUAAGCGGGGCCGGUCCCAAUAACUUUAGACACGUUUGCACAGUUGGACCUGUGGGAAGGAAGCGGAGCAGCACCGCGGAAGGGGCUGGGCAUCUCCACCAAGCAUCCUAGGAGCAUCCCUGAGUCUGUGUCCUGUUAUAGGAGAGCAGAGCUGCUCCUGCAAAGCUAUUUCUGCUCAGUCCAUUCCCAUAAAGCAGCACCACUCUCACAAGAAGAUCCAUAGAUGCAGUAUUUGUUGGGGUGCUGGGACCUGCCUGUCUUCUAGACCCCCAGAAUGAAGAGCACCCAGCCAUCUUCAAUGGACUAAACCUCCAACACACAACUCCGGACUGACAACCAUUCCAAAUUCUUGUGAAGAGCCUCAUCCAGGUUACAGAAAGCUCCCAGGGGGACUUGGUGUCCUCAAGGACUAGUUAGCUGUACAAACAUGCCAUUAGCUUCUGCAUCUCUUUGAACUAUCCUCAGAACACUGGAGUAAUAAUUGCAUACCCUUAGCUCCGCCAGCCCGUGUGGCAUGGGUCAUAUAUGUAAACAUCAAACUCAAAUAACAACCCCCAAAUUUAAUUUAUUUCUACCUAAACAAGUUCUUUUAUCAUAAAGCAAUAAAUUUGUCUUGGUGCUAGCAAUUUGUUGCGGGUGACAUAACACUGCAAAUUGAUUAAUCGCUACUGUACACGACAAAAUGAGAAAAGCAAGGAAUUAUUAUGAAUAGCGUCCAUCUGAUACAGUAGGGAUUCAUUAUUCAAAAGUGUUAGCUAGUGGUUAGCUAUCCCCUUGUUGCAGAUUACAUUCAUUUGCAGAAUCCUACAUCAUGCUUACACAAAUCAACAAACAUGCAUUUAUUAAGACAUGGAAUGAAAGCUAUUAAAAUGUGAAAAAUUGCCUUUUUCUUUAAAAAAAUGAGUCAAGUUUGGUGGUAGCUUUUUUGGGGGGGUUGAUUCUAUGUGACUGAAGCAAGGAGGCUUGUUCCAUUAUUUCUGUUUUUAUCCAGAACUCAACACACUGAGCUGAGUGCACUGAUAUUGGUUGGCAUCAUCCUACAGGGAGCUUUCUGUUAUAGCUUUAGGUGCACCAGGAGUGGUGGGUUGAAGAUAUAUAUGUAGCAAUAUAGGUUUUCUUUGCCUUUUCAAGUGCAAUUCACCAGCUUGCAAUUGUGGCUGAGGAACUUCUGCUUGAGGUGAAGAGUAAAUGUGGAGUAGAGGAAAAGCUCUUCCCUCUGAUUAAGUACAAAGACAGCUAUGAGGACCAAGAUGCCCCACGCUUCCCACAUUGAACACUGGAACUCUUCUGAAGUAUGAAAUUACUCUAGAAGAAUGAAUUUCAGAUGCAGACUACAGGCAAAGCAUGAUUUGGAUUCUUUGAUUAGUGGUCCUGGUGCCUGCGGGUCAUCAGAUGAGGAGCAAAGUUUUGUGUGCCCAUCUCUGCUGCAUGAUUGAUGUAUCUGAGCUUGUCAUCGCUGUCAUGGAAUCCAUGCUCUCUGUGUAAGCACAAUGACAUAGAAAAAAAAAAGAUGGGUUUAGCCUUCCAGGAAGGGCAUAAAGAAAAUAAAGUCUUUUCAUCUGCUCCCAUUCUCUUCCACUCCCAUCUUGUGAUGCCUCUACAGAUAACGGGAUUACGGGCAUCAAACAGCAAAGUCUCCCUGCCUCCUCCACUCCCUCUGCACAUCCUGCUGGUGCAAAGUGCUCGUCCUUCCCUUCAAAACACUGCUUCUCUCGUGGGCUGCUCACAGAAGGAAAUGCACUGAUGGUGGGAGCAGCAGCUCAGCACAGCUCAGUCCCUGAACUCAGGUCUCCUUAUUUUUUUUAGCUCUGUUCUGAAAUGCCAUGUGUUAAUUUUUUAUAUGGCUACUCAUAGUGAAUCAUCACUGAAAUAUUACCAAAAAGGGACCUUUCCAAUGUUGCUGGAGUUUGGAGGAGAUGCUAGUUCCUUCCUGGCUGUUCUGCAUAAGGAGAGAAAACAGCACAGAAAAAUGAAAUAAAGCAUGGAAAAUAGGUGUGUUAGGUCUGUGGUACACAAUAUUAACACACUGUGGUAUUGAUUAUUGGUUAGUCUUUUAGGCCUAGUUUCAUUAACGUGCUCUGAUUAGAUUACUUCAGAUAAUGGAGCUCGCCCUGAGAAAAACAUCACUGUUCUUCAGCUCCUCAGAGCGGUGUGCAGUAACACAGCUUUACACUGAGGGCCUUCUCCUCACCUGAGCCCACCGAGGACACGUGGAUGUCAGUAGCAGUGUCUCUGCAUUCCAGCACCCUGAACCUGAUGCUCCUGAGGGCUGCGUGCCCCAGCGUGGGCAGGGCAGCAGUGACACUGUGGGACGGGUCCACAGCAAGAUGAUAGAGUCAGAGCAUAUCCCGGGUUGGGAGGGACCCAGAAGGACCACCAAG
ensembl:lncRNA